rnacentral:misc_RNA from 1 species
UCCGAGUUGACCCCGGCAGUCUCCCAUGAGUCCCCGGCAUAACCCGCUGGCAACACAGGACAAGGGUUGCGCUCGUUGCGGGACUUAACCCAACAUCUCACGACACGAGCUGACGACAGCCAUGCAGCACCUGUGCAUGGAUCCCGAAGGAGGCUCCUCGUUUCUGAGGAGUUUCCCAUGCAUGUCAAGCCUAGGUAAGGUUCUUCGCGUUGCGUCGAAUUAAACCACAUGCUCCACCGCUUGUGCGGGCCCCCGUCAAUUCCUUUGAGUUUCACCCUUGCGAGCGUACUCCCCAGGUGGAAUACUUAUCAGGUUACCUUCGGCACUGAUCCAGAAAAGGACCAACACCAAGUAUUCAUCGUUUACAGCGUGGACUAC